UACCACUUAGAACACAGCUGUCAGCGCCAUCUUAUAAUAGCAAAUGUGAGGGCGGCUCCCCACACCAGUGUGUAUACACAAGGCCACUUUCCUCCCGGGGUCCCUGGCUGUUCUGUUCUUUGCUAUUAGACUUCUACUCCGCCUUCACAUCUGAUGGCCCAGAAUUCCUUAGCUGACAGUGCUGGUUGUUCUGUUGUGUUUGUUUGCUUUUGUUUUUUGUUUUUUGUCAACUUGACACAAACCCAGGCGUACACAUGGGAAAUGAAAAAUCUGAGGCUCUGCCUUCAUCGAAUUGUCCUGUGGACAUGUAUGUGGGGCGUUUUCUUGAUUACUAGUUGACAUGGGAGGGCUCAGCUCUUUGUGAGUUGUUCCUGCCCUAGGCAGGUGUUUCUGGGGUUGUAUAAAAAAAAGCAGGCUGAGCAAGACAUGGAGAGGCAGGUAGUAAGAAGCAAUUGAUCGAUCCUCAGGGCCUUUCCUUCUGUUCCUGUUUUCAGGCUCCUGCUGUGAGUUCCUGUUGGCUUCCCUCUAUGAUAGAUUCUAACCUGUGAGAAUAAACCCUUUCCUUCCUGGAGUUUUAAUUAAAACCAUUUGAUCAAUGCUUAUCACAGCAAAAGUGCACUCCUGGGGUCUUGACUGUCCUUGUUGUGGGCAAGGGCAAGCAAUUUGCUGGACCCUGGCCUGAAGCCCAGGUAGGCCUUUGCAAACCUGGGUUUCCAGGAUCCCAGGUCCCCUGAUGUGAACUUCUGGGAGUCCAACAUGGGCUCUUCCUUGUGAGUGAUGGCUCUGGGGAGCUCGGCCAGUCCUUUUUCUAGGUGGACCAUAAAUCCUUUCCCAAUGCUCACUCUUCAUGAAGAUCAAAGUUUCCUUAGACAUGAUCUUCCUGGAAGGACCACUCAGAUGCUAGACUCACUUUAUGCCAAAUAAGCCUACUUGGAGCAGUGGUAGCUCUGGCCUGUCAACCCCACCCCAACCCCCACCUUGGGAGUUUGAGGCAGUGACCAAGGGUUCUAGGCUGUGUGGGGAGCUCCUGUCUCAAAUCACCUGAAACCAACCAAGCAAAAAAGCUGUGAGGGUUUCUCUCCCCCAUACCUGUAAGAAUGUACAGUCCUGGUUCUAACAGUGCUCACCAUAGGAGACUUCACUUGGCAACUGGAGAAAGUUUUAUGUCAAGAUACUUCUGUUCUCUGAUUGCUUGGGAGUUGGAUAACAAUCCCAUUUUUAUUGGCCAGCUGGGUUCUUGUCACGUUCUUUUUCAUCUUCAGUUUUAGUUAAAUGCCCUUUUAUUGAUUGAAAACAGCUUUGGCAACAAGACCCCUUCCUAUGGACAUAGAGUGAAUGUAUGGUAUCUCUUUCUUACAUUCUUAUCUUCCUGCUGCUUUCCCUUUUUUGGUCUGGGCAAUAAUACCAGUUGUCUUCUGUUUGAAACAAAAAGAGUUGAAAUAAGUCUGCUGGGGACCAAAAGUGAUUGUGUGGUAGGUUUUAAGUUUCAUGAAAUAAGUACUGGUGAUAAUGAACCAAGGCGGGAGGUAGAAGCUGCAUGGUCAGAGUCAGGGUGAAGGAGACCAGAGGCAGAGGUGAGGGCUCUGUGGCUCAGCACCUCAGCCUGCAAACCCACCUCGGGAGCGGAAAGGCUUGCCCGCUGGCAACAGUGUUAUCUUUUCUCCUGCUGCACUGCUGGUUAACUCUUCUGUUUUGGUAACAUGUUGAAGAUAUGUAGUUAGAAGAUAGCAGUUGGAUGGAUGACUACACAGGCUGACUUCUGUAUCAAAUAAGCAAGAAGCAAAAACAAUAUCUAGAUAUGAGCACAAGAGAUGGAGUGAUGUGAGAAUCUACAUGCAGUCCACAUAGAUACAUUCAGACGUCUGCAUUGGCAGAGGAAAAGGAAGAAGAAAGAGAAAGGAAAGAUGUAAAUGGUAGUUUAGCAUCCUAUUCUACCCAAGUCCUUUCUAGGAGUCAGGAGGUGGAGCUGGCCACUCUAACCUCCUGUGUGGUCUGUGUCAAUAGUAAUUUUUCAUACAGUGUGGAUCACCAAUGGCAACUUCCAUGCACUCCCUUGCUCUACCCUAGACCUUGAACCAAUACCGUACGGUACCCGUGAUCAUCAGAUACAGUACACUGCUGAUUCUGCCUGGUGUAGGUCAGUCCUGAUUUUAUGAAGCUGGGUCUUAUGUUUUCUGCAUGAAAAGUCAUUUGGAAUUCUGCAAAAGUAACUUUGAUCUUUUCUAAUUUUUGUGUUGUUCUAAUAUUUACACCCCACUCUCUUUAAUGGUAUAUGGAUUAGAAAUCCCAGAGCUAGUCUGAGGGCAUUUGAAGUCAUCUUUUCUUGUUCUUAACUUAGUUAAUGCAGAUAUUUUUCAUCCUGUUAGGAACAUGUCCUUCUAGUAUUGGUUCAUGAAGGGACUUUUUAUGAAGAAGAAUCAAUUCUGAAUGUUCUCAGGGUCUUUUCUGUUCUGAUUAAGACAUUCAUCUAUUUUUAUGUUUUGACUCAUUUUGUAAAUUACAUGCGUUUCUCUUAAUUUUCAGGCUUGCAUCCCUAGGGUAAAGAGAUCUUGGUAAUGGGGUGUUAUUAUGCACUUUUAGGUUUGAAUUGCUUAUAUUUCAUUUAUGAAUUUUACAUCUAUAUUCAUAAGUGAGAUUAGGCUUUUUAAAUUCUUGUCAAAUUUUGGAUUAAUAACCAACUUUCUUUUAUCUCAUCUUUCCUGUAUUAUUUCAUAGCAUCUGUUUUGACAUCUAAAAAGUUCCUCUCAAUUCUGUUAUAAUAUUUUUAGAAACAUGUUCUCUAUAAAGUAGAAGGCAGCAUGCCCUAUAACUCAGCAAUUCUCCCCUGAGGCAGAAACCGGUUCAGGCCUUAGCUUAUUAUGGUUCAGGUAGAUAUACAUAUGUGUGCUGAUAUGUGUUGUAGACAUACAUACAUGUGCUGUGAGACAUGUGUAAGGAUGCUCAUGGCUGCCAGUAGCAGCAUGUCAGAAAUUACUUACAUGCUACUAGUAGUGAAAUAUGUUUAUUAAACAUGUGCAAUUGUCCUAGAGACAGCUUUGGCCAGUAUCUCUCUUAAGCGGCUGAUGGGUGGAAAGCCCAGAGCUCUUGGUAAGCACAUUGUUUCAUUCAUCCUUGUUGCAUGUCAUCAACAAGGAGUGUGUGUGUGUGUGUGUGUGUGAAAGUCUCUGUAUGUAUGUCUGUAUGUCUGUGAUGGGCCUUAGUAAGAUAUAAACCAUCAUCUUAGAUUAUCUUAUAUUAUGUUUUAGAAUAAGGCCUAAGUUUUAUGUGUGUGUGUGUGUGUGUGUGUGUGUGUGAGAGAGAGAGAGAGAGAGAGAGAGAGAGAGAGUAUGUGUGCAUGCAUGUAGAAGCCAGAGGUUGAUGUUGGAUGCUUUAAGCAAUCACUCUCCACCUUAUUUUUAAAGACCACCUCUUACUGAACGUGGCACUUGCUGUUUUGACUAGAUCAUCUGGCCAAGAAGUUCUAGGAAUCCUCCUGUCUCUGCCUCCCAAGCUCUGGGGUUACAGGUAAGCACUGCACCCAGCUUUUAGGUCCUCAUGCAUAUGCAGCAGACUCUCACAGAGUAAGCCAUUGCCCCAGCUCUUUCACAUGUGCUAGCGUCUUUGCGACCACACAGCUAUUUCCAUUAGUCUCCACUAUGUGUUUAGUCCUUUCGUUAGGUAGCUUGUUGGUAUGUGCAGGGCUGGAGGACACUGGGCUCUAUUUCUUCCCCCACAGCCAAGAACCUGGAGCUUCAAGGAUGGAACUCCAGGACCCUGCUUACUGCUCAGAGGAGUGGAACUUGGACAUCCUAAAAGGCGUCCUGAACUGCUAGUUAGUAACCCAGCCCCGGAGCCCCACACUCUACAGAUUACUGUGCUUCUGAUGCGUUGCUGAAUCCAGGAUCUGCCUUGCUGGUCUACUGCAGAGGGCACGUGUUCUUUCUCCACAUGUGUUUCAGCUGACUGAUACGCCUGUGCUAACCCAGCUCGGGGUCUCAGAGGGGUGGCUGCUCACAGGUCACAGUCCUUCCUGUGUCCUAUUUCCAAGCAAGGAGAGUACUGUACUUCCUAUGCCGAAUCAGGGACAUGAUACUAGACCCCCAAGUGGUGGGUCUUUAUUUAUUUUUUUAAUGCAUUCAUUUUUCGUAAUGUACUACCCGGGUCCUAUAGGGGAACGCCAUUUCUCCCUUGCAGCCCUUAGCUUCUGAUAUGCUGUGACCAGGACAUGUGACACAUUCCCUUUUGGGUUUAGUUUUGGUCUUCCUAGAACCUGUUAGGAAAGAAGCUCAUGAUGUGGCUGUAAGUCAACCUUGCCUUCACUAUGUACCGAGAAAAGUAGAAGUUGACUUCUUCUAGCCAAGGAGACUCUGGGCAAAGCAAGAUAUCUGGAACAGGAUCCUUAGGUAUUUCUUCCCAUCACUGUUGUUUCUUUGAGACAGGGUUUCUCUGAGUAGCUCUGGCUAUCCUGAAACUUGUAGAUCAGGCUGACCUGGAACUUAUAUAUCCAUCUACCUCUGCCUCCCAAGUGCUGGGAUUAAAGGUGUGGGCCUUGCCAGACACCCGCUGCUGUUCCUGAUAGGGUUGGAGUAGAAGAGGACCUCUCCAUGUGCUCUGUGCAGUUCCUCUAGCUGGGGAACUCCCUCUGGGUUCUCACUGAGUUGUUUUCCCAUACAUGGGAUGAGUUUUAUCACCAAACUUUCAAGAGAGAGAGGUUGCCUUGGCCUGGGAGGUUUUGUUUGUAAAACCUCUUUGAUAGCUGGGGGAAUGGUCAGAAGUAAAAAAACAUCCAAAUUUAUACAGUGUUACCAGAGGACUUAAAGAGAUGGAGGUACCAGCAGCAGGCAGGACUUCAUGAAAACCCCGUUGCUUGCUAAGGUGGUCAUGUGACUAUGCUCUGGCUUUGGGGUGUAUAUACAUUUGCUGUGUGGAAGCAGGAUAUAGUUGUGAAGGAAGUGCUGUAGCUAUGUUAGUGGAUCAUGAGGAUGAAACCAAGUCAUGGAGAAGGCAGAGGGUGAGCUGGGUCUCAGAGGGUCCUUAUAUCCUGUAUACUGUGUACAUACGUAGAAUGGAUGUAUAUAUAAUGCAUGAAUGUAUGUAUAUGUAAUAUAUGUAGAAAGACAUUCAUUGUAUACAUGUGUAUAUAUACAAAUAUAAAAAUUUCAUUUUGUUCUUGUUUGA